CUACCGGGGUAUCUAAUCCUGUUCGCUCCCCAUGCUUUCGCUUCUCAGCGUCAGUAGUGGCCCAGAGACCUGCCUUCGCCAUCGGUGUUCCUCCUGAUAUCUGCGCAUUUCACCGCUACACCAGGAAUUCCAGUCUCCCCUACCACACUCUAGUCUGCCCGUACCCACUGCAAGUCCGGGGUUGAGCCCCGGAUUUUCACAGCAGACGCGACAAACCGCCUACAAGCUCUUUACGCCCAAUAAUUCCGGACAACGCUCGCACCCUACGUAUUACCGCGGCUGCUGGCAC
rnacentral:rRNA from 1 species